AUUUACCCCUUUGCACAAACCAUGCCGAUCACUCCUGUGCUCCCCGCUCUAUAAAAAUCACACCAAAUAUGUCUCUUUGUUCUGUCUGUACAUCUCUCGAUGCAUAUCUUCUUCAGGCGUUCUCGUGCUUUGGAGCGACCAUCUUAACCGCCUCGCCGACCGACAGGAAUAUCUUGUCGUCGCCGAUGAGCUCUGUGAAUCUCGCCGCCCGCAGCUUCUGGAUCACUAUUGGCCCGGGAUUGGCGAGGAUCAGCUGUAAGUGGCACACCCAGAUUGUUCUCUUAGUCAAGUGCUUCGUCCAUCAACAUUGAUUCUUGCGGUAGCAGCUAGUAUAGGCAGAAUUGGAGUUCUAGUCUUUGUUAUUUACCUGAAUUUUGCGCUUUUCAAGUGCUUUUAGCAAUUCCUCCAAGGCAUGGAUUCCGCUUGUGUCGAUGUCAGUUACCGCUGUUAAGAGUUGGCUUCUGCUCCUCCUGUUGUUCUUCCUCAUCCCUCAGCCAUCUCAGGAUCCUGAAAAUCGUAUAUCAGGUAGCCAAGUAUGACUUACAAUAGCGACGCCUUGCUUGUCUGCACGAGUGAGGUACACACACAAGGUGGAUAAGAUGACCGAUAUAAGCGGCGCGAUUGCAGAAACCCAGAAGAGCUUUUUAUUCUUCUUAGCCUGAAUUAUCCCAGUUAGUUGAAGGAAUGCCAAGAACGAUGCUGCGAUCAAUAUUGUCUGCCAGUUCCACUAAAUCAACAAAGCAAGAACAGAUUUCAUGACUGAUAUGAUAUCUGACUUCUUGGUGAAGACCGCAAUGCCAAGGAAUCCCUUGAGCUGUUGAAGAGCAAUGGUGACGGCUGCACCCGCCAUGAAACCAACGAUGGCGGCAUGAGACAAGAACUCUAUGAUGAACCCUAGCCUGCAGCAAAGUCCGUUCAUGAACUACCAUUCUAAUGCAUAACCGAGUUGGUUAACAGGAUCUGAGGUAAUACCUAAAGAAUCCGAGCGCGAACUGAGUGAGGCCCGCGAAGAAUGUGGCGGUGAAGGCCAGGCUGGUGUACU